rnacentral:rRNA from 1 species
GAUGAACGCUGGCGGCGUGCCUAAUACAUGCAAGUCGAGCGAACAGAUGAGGAGCUUGCUCCUCUGACGUUAGCGGCGGACGGGUGAGUAACACGUGGAUAACCUACCUAUAAGACUGGGAUAACUUCGGGAAACCGGAGCUAAUACCGGAUAAUAUAUUGAACCGCAUGGUUCAAUAGUGAAAGACGGUUUUGCUGUCACUUAUAGAUGGAUCCGCGCCGCAUUAGCUAGUUGGUAAGGUAACGGCUUACCAAGGCAACGAUGCGUAGCCGACCUGAGAGGGUGAUCGGCCACACUGGAACUGAGACACGGUCCAGACUCCUACGGGAGGCAGCAGUAGGGAAUCUUCCGCAAUGGGCGAAAGCCCGACGGAGCAACGCCGCGUGAGUGAUGAAGGUCUUCGGAUCGUAAAACUCUGUUAUUAGGGAAGAACAAAUGUGUAAGUAACUAUGCACGUCUUGACGGUACCUAAUCAGAAAGCUACGGCUAACUACGUG